rnacentral:rRNA from 1 species
AUUGAACGCUGGCGGCAUGCCUUACACAUGCAAGUCGAACGGUAACGGGCCUUCGGGUGCCGACGAGUGGCGAACGGGUGAGUAAUGCAUCGGAACGUACCUUUCAGUGGGGGAUAACGUAGCGAAAGUUACGCUAAUACCGCAUAUUCUGUGAGCAGGAAAGCAGGGGAUCGCAAGACCUUGCGCUGAUUGAGCGGCCGAUGUCAGAUUAGCUAGUUGGUGAGGUAAAGGCUCACCAAGGCGACGAUCUGUAGCGGGUCUGAGGGGAUGAUCCGCCACACUGGAACUGAGACACGGUCCAGACUCCUACGGGAGGCAGCAGUGGGGAAUUUUGGACAAUGGGGGCAACCCUGAUCCAGCCAUGCCGCGUGAGUGAAGAAGGCCUUCGGGUUGUAAAGCUCUUUCGGUCGGGAAGAAAUCGCAUGGGUUAAUACCCUGUGCGGAUGACGGUACCGGCAUAAGAAGCACCGGCUAACUACGUGCCAGCCGCCGCCGUAAAAC